UAGGGAAUCUUCCGCAAUGGGCGAAAGCCUGACGGAGCAACGCCGCGUGAGUGAUGAAGGUCUUCGGAUCGUAAAACUCUGUUAUUAGGGUAGAACAAAUGUGUAAGUAACUAUGCACGUCUUGACGGUACCUAAUCAGAAAGCCACGGCUAACUACGUGCCAGCAGCCGCGGCAAUACGUAGGUGGCAAGCGUUAUCCGGAAUUAUUGGGCGUAAAGUGCGCGUAGGCGGUUAUUUAAGUCUGAUGUGAAAGCCCACGGCUCAACCGUGGUGGGUCAUUGGAAGCUGGAAAACUUGAGUGCAGAAGAGGAAAGUGGAAUUCCAUGUGUAGCGGUGAAAUGCGCAGAGAUAUGGAGGAACACCAGUGGCGAAGGCGACUUUCUGGUCUGUAACUGACGCUAAUGUGCGAAAGCGUGGGGAUCAAACAGG
rnacentral:rRNA from 1 species